rnacentral:rRNA from 1 species
GUGGGGAAUAUUGGACAAUGGGCGAAAGCCUGAUCCAGCCAUGCCGCGUGUGUGAAGAAGGUCUUCGGAUUGUAAAGCACUUUAAGUUGGGAGGAAGGGCAGUAAGUUAAUACCUUGCUGUUUUGACGUUACCAACAGAAUAAGCACCGGCUAACUUCGUGCCAGCAGCCGCGGUAAUACGAAGGGUGCAAGCGUUAAUCGGAAUUACUGGGCGUAAAGCGCGCGUAGGUGGUUCAGCAAGUUGAAGGUGAAAUCCCCGGGCUCAACCUGGGAAAUGCCUCGAAAACUACUGAGCUAGAGUACGGUAGAGGGUAGUGGAAGUUCCUGUGUAGCGGUGAAAUGCGUAGAUAUAGGAAGGAACACCAGUGGCGAAGGCGACUACCUGGACUGAUACUGACACUGAGGUGCGAAAGCGUGGGGAGCAAACAGGAUUAGAUACCCCGGUAGUCC